AUUGAACGCUGGCGGCAGGCCUAACACAUGCAAGUCGAACGAUCGGCGGACGGGUGAGUAAUGUCUGGGAAACUGCCUGAUGGAGGGGGAUAACUCCUGGAAACGGUAGCUCAUACCGCAUACCAUCAGAUGUGCCCAGAUGGGAUUAGCUAGGAGGUGGGGUAACGGCUCACCUAGUCGACUAUCCCUAGCUGGUCUGAGAGGAUGACCAGCCACACUGGAACUGAGACACGGGCCAGACUCCUACGGGAGGCAGCAGUGGGGAAUAUUGCACAAUGGGCGCAAGCCUGAUGCAGCCAUGCCGCGUGUGUGAAGAAGGCCUUCGGGUUGUAAAGCACUUUCAGCGGGGAGGCGUUACCCGCAGAAGAAGCACCGGCUAACUCCGUGCCAGCAGCCGCGGUAAUAC
rnacentral:rRNA from 1 species